UAGAUCUUUGAUCUAUUUUGAUUUUAGUUUAGUGCAUGGUGAGAGGCAUGGAUCUAGUUUUAGUCUUUGAAAGGUAGUCUCUUUGAUAAAUGGUGCCAAGGCUCACUUUCAGUCCUUUGGCCCAAAAGCUCUUUAUUUAUCCUUCUCUGUCUCAUGCUUCCUGCAUCUAUACCUUUAUUUUGGGCAGUGGGAAGAUACAAAGAGAGAGGAAGAAAAACAAUAGGGUUUUACCACCCUUUUGGAACUGCAAGACCUCGGGGUGGAGAGACACCAGCACUUCAGGUCCCAUAUGGUUUUGGUGUCUGCUUGGUCACUGUUGUUCUGCAGCACUAAGGCUUGAGCCCAGGCACACUAGGCAAGUGGUCUACUGAGGAGCUGGAGCCCAGCCCCCAAGAUGUUUGCAUCUUCUCUUCUCUGUCUUUGGAGAGCGCUUCCUGCCCCCACCCCAUGCAUCCUUGAUUCCCAAGUCCCUUCCCACUAUUGGGUCUCAGUUUAAAUGUCACUUCAGAAAGGUACCCUUUCCCCCUAGACUAGCCCAAACUCCCUGUCACAAGUGCUAUUCUACACUGGAGCAUGGUGACCGUCCACUUACUACCCCGUGUCCCCCACGAGACUAUGUGCUGAGUUCUAAUUCUUCCUUCACUUUCAACUCACGGACCUAAUUUUAGUUUAAGAAAAAAAAAAGACUGAAAAAAGGAUUUCAACUGCAGAGACCUGACCUGGCUUCCUCUCUUGGAGGCAGUAGCUUUUUAACAACAAACUAAUGGAUUUUAUUAUUUUACUCCAACACCCGAUUUUCUGAAAAACCUUGAUCAUGCAACCUUACUUAGCUUUACAAACACAUUACUCUUUCAGAGAAAUUUCACCUGCCAUGGAAGUCAAGGGAUGCUAUAUUUACAUCCAAAUAAACAGAACAGAACAGGUUCUCUGGCUUGUAAAAUGAUGACCCUUAAUCACUUAAAACAACUGAUGUGGGUAAUUAGGACUAUUUCCAUAGUACAGAGAAGAUGAUUUUUAAAAAGGGAAGUAGGGAGUAAUUAAUUUCACAUAAUAGUCACACUGGGACCUACUGUGAGGCCUGAUGUUAAUGAUGUAUUUCUUUUCUGUAAUUAAUUUUUCUGGGCAGUGGUGGGGCUCUCCACCACCUUCUCCAGAACUGCUCUGGGAUCAGCAGGCCUGACUGUUCCCCACCUGCACCAGGCCAUAAAGACAGAGACACACAGAGAACAAGAAAUAGGUAUCCACUUAGCCAAAUUUUAGUUUGUACAAUGCUUUCCCUCCUUUGUGAGGAAAUUAAAGUAAUAUAAGCAAGGAAGUAUUUUGGAA